rnacentral:rRNA from 1 species
AUGUGGACCUCUGCCGUGAUGCUUCUGUGUCAUGGCAGAACUGCAUAAGCAGGUGAGACUUCUUAGAGGGACUGGCGCUCGACAAAAGGCGCACGAGAAAGAGCAAUAACAGGUCUGUGAUGCCCUAAGAUGUCCGGGGCCGCACGCGUGCUACAAUGACGAUGCUAGUGAGCAUGAUUAACUUGCCCGAAAGGGUAGGUAAAACUGUUCAAUCAUCGUCGUGACUGGGAUUGGGGUUUGCAAUUAUCCCCCAUGAACCAGGAAUUCCUAGUAAGCACAAGUCAUAAGCUUGUGCUGAUUACGUCCCUGCCCUUUGUACACACCGCCCGUCGCUACUACCGAUUGAAUGGCUUAGCAAGGUCACUGGAUUGAGUUUUUGCGGUUAACACUGCUUGAAUUCGAGAAGAUGCCCGAACUUGGUCAUUUAGAGGAAGUAAAAGUCGUAACAAGGUUUCCGUAGGUGAACCUGCGGAAGGAUCAUUA